GACGUGUCUUCUGGGAGUCAUCCUGUUUGGAUCAUGCAUCCCCACUAUGACUGAAUGGACAGGGGACUUGCAAUGCGAUUGUGAAAAUACAACUUCGUGUGUUUUUAGCCUUUAAGAUGAGGGACUGUGAUUCUGGGAAACCAAACCUUAACAAAGUGUAGGGCCCUGGGAAAUGGAAGGACCUGUGUCCUAGGCAGCUGUGGGUCUUGCUGAUUAACUGGUUAUCAACUCCCCAGAUUUCCUCAGCACCUGUCAUUAUUGGCACAUUGCAGGCACUCAGAUUUUUCUUUAACUAAGCUAUCUGGAGAAAGCUAAUUUUGCUUUAUAGAAGCAUGUGAGUGAUAGUGUUUCUAACACAGGACAUCAGAAGAAGUUCAAACAUGGCCUUGGUGUGGGUGACAGAUGAUAGGUGGAUUGCAGUUACCUGAUAGGAACUGGGAAUGAUGGAACCAACAUGGUGGCGGAUUUACUCUCAUCUCCCUGACUGUUGGCGGAGAAAGGCCUGCCUCUGGCUUGUCCGGUCUGAUACUAAAGGAGAGGAUGAGCUGUUCUUCAGAGGCUAUGGGCUUUGAAUAUAUCAUGCAGCCAUAAAUCCCAGAAGCAGUUGCAUGUAUUAGCUUAGAAAUAAAUAGGCCUUGGAGGCACAGGGUAAAAGCCUCCUACUUCUGCCUGUGCUGGCAUUUGUCUGUUUCUUUGUUUCAUUUUUAGUUUCUAAAUAUUGAUUAGCUUUAGUGAGUGCUCACUGGCUCUUGUGGUUAUCCUACAGCUAUAAGGUGAUAAGAUCAUGACAGUUAAAUGGCAUUCCUGGAACAGAGCAAAAUGGAAGGGGUGGUCAGGUCUGCAAAAUGCAGUUUGGCAACAAAUUCUAUCCUGAUAUCUCCCAUGUUCUCUACUGGGUACCUCCUACUAAGCUUGGGUACUUUGUUUCCUUUGCAAAUGCAGACUUUUGCACUUUACAGUAAUCAGCUGAUAUGACUGCAAUGAACUAUGGCUUCACUGGAUAGAACCUUUGAAAUCAAGGGUAUUAACUUGACUCUUUUUUUCUCAGGUAAUAAUGAGUAGACAUUCCAGCUAUAAAAAAAGACUUAAUAGAUUCCAAGCUUUUAUACUCUUUGGAAGCAGUAAUAAAAAAAAAAUAAAAAGAGGAACUGGCACAGAUGCAGCUGUGCUUGAUUUCAUUCUUUCUGAGGGGUGUUAAGGUUUUUGACAGCCUGGCCAAAUGAUCCAAGGGGACAAAUGCACCCACUCUGUGUGAGGUCGGGGACAGGGAUGGCAAGGUAGAUACGCUGUCUGUUUGAUGCAGAUUUGGGCUGAAAUGUUCAGAUCUACAACCUGUUCUCAGUCUUUUGAAAAUCAAGGCAUGUACAUGGUUGAUGAUAGCCUUUGGUGUCUGCUUACGAUUCUCCAGAUGACAUGUUGGCAGAGCAUUUAGCCAGAACAUUUUUAGCACCACAGAAAGUAGCUUGUAUAAAAGGUGACCAUGAAAUAAUUUGGGCUCAUUUGUGAGCUUGUAGCUUAUCUCAUUUGUUUUCAGAGUCACAGGAAGGAAAAUGACUUAAGAUUACAUCAGAGGUUGGACUCCCUGGCUUUGAGUCUUGGUGCUAUGGCUUACUAGCUUUGUAGCUUUUAACAAAUUAUGUAAAAUCCCUACGCUUUUCUACACCUGUGAAAUGGAGAUAAUAAAAACAGUACACAUAGGAUUAUUGCUGGAAUUAAAAAGAUGCAUUUUAUUUGAAGUAUUUAUGACAUUGCUUGCCAUAUUGUAAAUAUACAAUAAAUGUUCGAUACAUGCAAAAUCAGCAUCAUUCUUACAAAUAAUUUGAGAGCCUGCUCUGAAUCUAGUGCAGUGCAAACAACUGGAUAUAUGUAGGUUUACAAGGUACUAGGUGCUGCCUCCCAGAAGUUCAAAGUGUAGUGGUUGAAACAGAUGUAAAAAUAGAUAGAGAAUCAUUAGUAAGAGUACCAGGAUAGUUGGCUAGCUGUAUGGGAGUGGAGGGUGGGGGGGAAAGAUGGAGGUAAGUGGACCAAAUAGUGGGAAGGUCAGCAGUGGGAGUUUCAUGGAGCUGAAAUAACUUAAAGCAAUUCUCAGUGAUUCCCAGUGAUAUGAUGGGAAGGCCAUUGAUGUAAAAUAUUGACGUAGAUUAAGUAUGCAUGUGUUGUGUCUUAGAAG